CCUACGGGUGGCUGCAGUGAGGAAUAUUGGUCAAUGGCCGGAAGGCUGAACCAGCCAUGCCGCGUGAAGGUCAGUGCCCUAUGGGCGUUAAACUUCUUUUGUGCGGGAGCAAUAAUGGUCACGUGUGGCCAGACGAGAGUACCGUACGAAUAAGCAUCGGCUAACUCCGUGCCAGCAGCCGCGGUAAUACGUAGGGGGCGAGCGUUGUCCGGAAUCACUGGGCGUAAAGGGCGCGUAGGCGGUAAUAUAAGUCAGAUGUGAAAGGGGGGGGCUCAACCCCUAGAGUGCAACUGAUACUGUAUAACUUGAGUGUGAGAGAGGGAAGCGGAAUUCCAAGUGUAGCGGUGAAAUGCGUAGAUAUUAGGAGGAACACCAGUGGCGAAGGCGGCUUUCUGGCUCAUAACUGACGCUGAGGCGCGAAAGCGUGGGGAGCAAACAGGAUUAGAUACCCUAGUAGUC
rnacentral:rRNA from 1 species